ensembl:misc_RNA 7SK 7SK RNA
GGAUGUGAGGGCGAUCUGGCUGCGACAUCUGUCACCCCAUUGAUCGCCAGGGUUGAUUCGGCUGAUCUGGCUGGCUAGGCAGGUGUCCCCUUCCUCCCUCACCGCUCCAUGUGUGUCCCUCCCUCCCGAAGCUGCUCACUCGGUUGAAGAGGACGACCUUCCCCGAUAGAGGAGGACCGUUCUUCGGUCAAGGGUCAAGAGUAGCUGCACUCCCCUGCUAGAACCUCCAAACAAGCUCUCAAGGUCCAUUUGGUGUUUUUUUUUUUAAAUAAAUUUUCAAACUUACACUUGAUCUUCAGACAGAAUAAUUUCAUU